AACGUAGGACACAAGCGUUAUCCGGAGUUACUGGGCGUAAAGGGCGUGUAGGUGGAUCGGUAAGUCUACUCUGAAAGCUCCUGGCUAAACUGGGAGAGGCGAGUGGAGACUGUCGGUCUAGAGUGAGGAAGAGGAAAGUGGAAUUCCGCGUGUAGUGGUGAAAUGCGUAGAGAUGCGGAGGAACACCAGUGGCGAAAGCGGCUUUCUGGUCCUUAACUGACGCUGAGGCGCGAAAGCAUGGGGAGCGAACGGG
rnacentral:rRNA from 1 species